CGGGCUCUUUCUCAUUCCUUCUCCCUUCCUUUUUCUCGGGCUCUUUCUCGUUCUUUCUCUAGCUCCUGCUGUCUUGUCUCUUUGAUUGUGUGUCGUCUGGUCGUCUCACGUUCUGCCACCAGCCCUGGAGAGAGCUCGCUAAAGGGGAACCGAGACUCUAAAGAAAUAUUCCAGGAAGGCAAGAACGGCCAAGGCACCACGCAAAUCCUUCACAGCCUGCCAAGCCUGGACUGAAGAGACAAUGCCUUCAUCUGGCCCAUAUUUACCGGCACUUCUUUCAGAGCCAGCAGCGGUCUUCGGGCGAGCGACACCGCAGACUCCGGGGGGAAAAGUAGUCUAGCGAGAGACACAUCUGGACAUUUCUCAUAGAAGCGAGAAGGAAUUUCCCUCGCAACAGUUGCGCGGCAAAAAGCCUGCCGACAGAGGGGUAAUGGCCUGAAUCAGGGGCGCCCGCUUUUCUGUGGAAUGCGAGUCUCGGCCAGCUGCCUUCUAGCACAAAAGAUGCAGUUUUGAGGUUUUGCUGAGAGCCCGGAUCCGGCUCGUGAAAGGAAGGCCCUGUCGAUACACUGUGCAAAAAACGCAGAGGCGUGCGACGCCUGCUUCUUUUCAAACGGAAAACGGAGACAUUUCGCUUGCUGUGGAUGCCGGGAAGUCACAGAAAAACAGUGCGAGCGAGGCAAAAACGGUUCCGCCCCUUGAUUGACUAAAAACAAAACGCUGGGUCUGCCACAGCUUUCUUUCCCGGGUGUACGUCCACCGCACCAGGUGUACGUACACCUCAUCUUCUCGCGAGCGAGUCGGAGAGCAAUCCAGGACUCCGAGGUUUCACCCUUUUCCAGAUUCGCUUCUCUUUGUUUCGGCACCAAGGCACCCGUGUGCGAGCCGACGCUCCGCUGCUGGUUUUCCUCUCCGCUUUUUUCCCUUCUUUUGUCACGGAGUUGCUGGGGCCUCUCGCGUGUCGCCCCACUUUCCGACAGCGCAUGCCGCAGCGCUGUAUCCCUUUUUUCGCCGCUUUCCCUGUUUCUUCCCUCCUGCGUUUCCGCUGAAGUCGACAGAAAACUCCGGCGUCCUCCCCGCGCACCGUCUCUCUUUUCCCCCUCGUCCAGGGGGGUUCGUUCCGCCCUCUCUUCCCCGGCCGUUCUUCUGCCUCUCCGUUUUCUUCCCAUCUCUCUCCUUCGCUUUCUCCCUCCCCCCCUUUCUCUCUCUCCUUCGCUUUUUCUCCCCCUCUUCCCACCUCUUUUCGUGUUUUACUCGUCGAGAGGUUUCGGCGCUUUCCUGAUGUAUUUCUCUGCAGCUUCAUCUGUGACGGCGUUCGCGGUCUCCAUCGUUCGGACGCCGAAUCUGGAAGAGAGCGGCGCGUACACCCACUUGGGCUUGAAGCGCAUGCGGUCUACAACGUCGGCGCGCUUCUCGUUCUUCGCGCGCGUCUCCUGGGAGUCCCCCGCUGCCUCCUUGCUCUCUGUCUGGGGGCUCUCCGCGCGAACAGGCUCGUCGCAGCUUUUCCAGUGCACGAGCGGCUUUCCAUUGGUCUCUGCCGAGUCAUCCGCUACCAGACACUUCGCCUGGUGCGACACCGCCAUAUGUCUGUACACCGGAAGCGUGUCGUGGCCCGUGAGGGACACAGUGUCGGGGUGGGAGAAGGAGAAGAUUCGCCCGGUCGCGUUCGCGGAGACGCCCUGCUGUCCAGGCAGGGAGGCAUCCCAUUGCCAAAACUCAUUGCUGUUUUGAUUCUGCAGCACGCGAUUCCAGUCGCAUUUCCAAGUAAGCGGCGAGCGCGUGCUGGCUAGCUGCGAGUACGCGUCGAUGCACUUCUUCUCGCGAUUCGCAAUCAGCCGAUUUCCCCCCGCCAGAGUCCAUUGCUGAGAAAAUAGAAAACGCGAGAAGGAAGCGGAGUGGGGGCACACACAGAAACGAACCACGCGGAGAGAGAAGAAGGAUAAGACGAAGCAAAAAACGUGCAAAACCCAGAUGAAAAGAGAGAACAGGAGAACCUUCGCGAGACACCCGUAUCGGCCCAUCCGUUGCAUGCAGAAGCGAGACCGCGGUAUCCUAAACGCACGUGGUGGGGCUAGGUGAGAGGCGCGCACGAAGGGAGUCGAAACUCCAGGUGCGGAAACGCCACGAUGUGUUUGGAGAAUGGAGCGGCUGGGUCGAUGCCCAAAAAAACGUUCCGAGGGAAAAUCGCUACGCACUGCCAACCGGACCUCAAACACUCAAAACUGGUUCUAAACACACAAAAAGGCCUUACUUGAAGACGAGCGUGGAGAUUGCAAGGCUCCAGAACAAGACGAUGCUCUGGGAAACCCGAGAUGUAGGCCGAGGAAAGACACAGUCCUGAAGCGCCAAAACACCUCACGCUGGAAAGCACGUCAACCCACCUUUAUACCUGAGGCAGGCACCAACCGUUAUACAUAUAUAUAUAUAUACAUAUAUAUAUAUAUAUAUAUAUGAACCUAAGUUGUGUGGAUGAGUGCAUGCCUCUUGUGUUUCGCCUCUUUUGUGUCGGAGGGCGUACCUGUUUGUUCAUGUUGAAUAUGGAAGUAGUUGUGGUCCAGAAGUCCGUUACGGUCGAAAGCAGUCUUGAAUUUUUCCACAUACCACUGGAAAGGCAUGCACGUCAGCUCUUCGUAUCGCAGUUUCUUCCGUUUGGUGACGUCGCCUUCCUGGUGCCCGCGAACUUCGCGGUGGUAUUUGUAGAACAGGUUGUAGUACUCAUCUAGCCAAACUUUUGCUGCGCGCUUUUGGUUCUUUUGAACCUGAAAAAGAACGCCGACAAAAAAGCGACCAGUCAUCCUCCUGGGGAAACCCAGUGGAAACAAAGCUUCUACCGCACGACCUCUUCCUCUCCCGUAUUCGUCUUCUUCUCUUCUGGAUCUCUCUCUCUCGCUUCCUCCCUGCGAUUGUUUUGCUUCUCGUGUCCUCUGUUUCUUCGUUUUCACCUGAAUGACGAGUCGGUUUCCGGGGUUUGGCUUCGGAGGCCUGGAGAAGAUGUGCCCGAUCUUCGAUUCUUGCACCGCGACGAUUUCGCCUCCACACAGCCACGAGCGAAUCGACUGUUCGAGGUUCUCCCCGCCCCAUUCGAGCAUUCCCUCGUCGUAGAGCCCUGAAAACCGAGAAACGAAAAGAGCAUCCAGUCUCCAGCCCCUCGGAGAGAAGAACGAACUUUGUUCACACCGCCUCCGCUGCCGAGCAGAAAGCGAAGAAAGGAAAAACGGGCUUUUGCAGGGGCAACAGCCUGCACGCGAUCGCCUUCGACAUCACGUGUACAUACACCAGGCAUCCACGUACGCACUGAGCUGGGUGCGCAUGCAGCGAAGCGGGAAAAAAAGCGAGGAGGCAAAAUGAGAGAGAAAAGAGUUCC
rnacentral:lncRNA from 1 species